rnacentral:lncRNA from 1 species
GGUAAUGUCUUUGUCUACGUGGUCAUCCAAUGUGUUUGGAGACGAGGGUCGGGGGUACACUGACGACGCGGUUGCUUCAACUUCAGCUACUUCCUCUUCGUCCCUGUCCUCUGGUCAACCCGUUCGGGAGGAAGCUCCCCUCGACGACGUUGAGUUUAAUGUGGACAACUCACUUGAGUGGACCGGUAUCGCUCCCCCUCCAUCCAUCUCAGGCUAUGACUGGGCAC